rnacentral:rRNA from 1 species
UACGGAGGGAGCUAGCGUUGUUCGGAAUUACUGGGCGUAAAGCGCGCGUAGGCGGCUUUGUAAGUUAGAGGUGAAAGCCCGGGGCUCAACCCCGGAACUGCCUUUAAGACUGCAUCGCUUGAAUCCAGGAGAGGUGAGUGGAAUUCCGAGUGUAGAGGUGAAAUUCGUAGAUAUUCGGAAGAACACCAGUGGACGAAGGCGG